rnacentral:rRNA from 1 species
GAUGAACGCUGGCGGCGUGCUUAACACAUGCAAGUCGAACGAAGCACUUUAUUUGAUUUCCUUCGGGACUGAUUAUUUUGUGACUGAGUGGCGGACGGGUGAGUAACGCGUGGGUAACCUGCCUUGUACAGGGGGAUAACAGUUGGAAACGGCUGCUAAUACCGCAUAAGCGCACAGUAUCGCAUGAUGCAGUGUGAAAAACUCCGGUGGUAUAAGAUGGACCCGCGUUGGAUUAGCUAGUUGGUGAGGUAACGGCCCACCAAGGCGACGAUCCAUAGCCGACCUGAGAGGGUGACCGGCCACAUUGGGACUGAGACACGGCCCAAACUCCUACGGGAGGCAGCAGUGGGGAAUAUUGCACAAUGGGCGAAAGCCUGAUGCAGCGACGCCGCGUGAGCGAAGAAGUAUUUCGGUAUGUAAAGCUCUAUCAGCAGGGAAGAUAAUGACGGUACCUGACUAAGAAGCACCGGCUAAAUACGUGCCAGCAGCCGCGGUAAUACGUAUGGUGCAAGCGUUAUCCGGAUUUACUGGGUGUAAAGGGAGCGCAGGCCGUGCGGCAAGUCUGAUGUGAAAGCCCGGGGCUCAACCCCGGUACUGCAUUGGAAACUGUCGUACUAGAGUGUCGGAGGGGUAAGCGGAAUUCCUAGUGUAGCGGUGAAAUGCGUAGAUAUUAGGAGGAACACCAGUGGCGAAGGCGGCUUACUGGACGAUAACUGACGCUGAGGCUCGAAAGCGUGGGGAGCAAACAAGAUUAGAUACCCUGGUAGUCCACGCCGUAAACGAUGAUAAUAGGUGUUGGGAAGCAUUGCUUCUCGGUGCCGUCGCAAACGCAGUAAGUAUUCCACCCGGGGGGUACGUUCGCAAGAAUGGGACUCUUUGGGAUUGUCGGGGGCCCGCUCCCGCGGUGGGGCGUGUGGUUUUUUUUGUGGCUGCGCGGGGGGCCUUUCCUCGUCUUGGCGUCCUUCUGUCCGGUGGUUGCUCGUGCCUUCUCUUCGGUGCGGGGGUGGCGGGUGUUGCGUGGUUGUCGUCUGCUCGUGUCGUGUGGUGUUGGGUUGGGUCCCGCCCCGCGCGCGCCCCUUCUCUUUUGUUGCCCGCGGUUCGGCCGGGCGCUC